CCUCACAGUAUAUAUGCCACCUCAUUUCCUCAGUAAUACAUGCCUGUCAUAUGCAAUCGUGUGUACUAAACUUACAACGAUGUCUCACAAACUUAGCUUCAGCACCAGGAAGUACAACAUGAUUCUGUGCAGUUUGGGUGAAGGUUCCUCUGAUAGGGACAGCGAAGCACAGACCUCAGUGCACAGCGUGCAGCACAGUCCCACCACCAACACUGAGUGAUCUAGCCACUCAUGUUCUAGAGAGAACACCAGAACAGAAGAUCAGACAAGCAGCCCAAAGCCAGAGAAGAGCAAGGUUUGCCUUUUUUAGCCUCCCCAAACAAAGCAGGGUGGAUCACAUAUGUAAAUGCCUGUGGGGAGGGAGGAGUACAAGGAAUGAGGCUCUAGGGAGGGAAAAGAAUGAAUUAAUUGAAUCAGCAAGCAGAAAUGCCUGGAAAUUGGAAAUCAGAAAAAAAAUGAGAUACUGAAAGAGCUGCUCAUGAAGGCAGCUGGAGAAGCAGAGAAGAGGGCAGCUCAGCACGAUGGCUGCUGCCAGUCUGCAGGUCCUGACCUUCCUGAGAUACAGAUUUCAGUUGUGGCUCUGUCCCUGGCUCAGGGGAGUACCCAUCUCUUUUGUGUGGAAGCCUUUGCUUCCUUUCAAUGGAGUAUUCCACUUUUAUAGAUAAAGAUCUUGUGUAUCUAUUUUACUUCAGAAAUGGAUCUAAGAGUAUAGUUUUUCAAAACUAGCACAUUUUUCCUUUUUGCACUCUGGGUACAACAUAUCUAGCCAAGAGCUGCUUUUGGUCCUCCAGCCCCCUUCACCACAGAGAUCCUUCCACUGGGGUCCUGCAUGCAGGCUCACACACCCUGAGCUCUUCUCCCCGCUUUGCACCUGCUCUGCCAUUCUCCUCCCUCUGUCCUAGCACUGUUUGCUGAGGACAUACUGGGUAUUUCUACAUAUCCUUAUUUCCCUAGCCAGCGUCCCCCAUUCUCUGCUCAAUGUUUCCCUCUGGUCCAUUUCUGCCCCCACGCAAUGGGUUUCUC
ensembl:lncRNA